AAGUUUGUAAUUAUGUUUAGAACAUAAUGGUUGGUUGACAAAAAAAAAUAGUCCAUCAACAUGGACUUAUGAAGAUUUUGAAUCAUUGAGUGUUGAGGUGUUAAACCACUUCUAGCAAUGGAAACUAGGCAAGGACUUCACCUUUGUGUCCCUAUCCAAAUGGUUCACUAAGUUUAUUGUAAACUAUAUAGUUAACAAUAACCACACACUCUCCAAAUCGUUGGAUGUGUAUAACACAAUUGAAAUAAGUUUCAAGAGAGAUAGUGGGAGUUUAGGGACCAUGACUAUUGUAGUCAAAGGAGAAGUCAAAUGAAGAAAGCGAAAUAACUCCAAGGGAACAAACUUUCUUUAUGAAAGGAUGGACAUUGGAAGGGGUAUUUGCAAGAAAUGUCUUGCAAGUGUCAAGAACACACCUUUCGAAGGUGUUGUAAAUUGUUCUUGAAUAGUUCAAAACAGUUGGUUCUCCUACUUGAAUGCUUGAUUCCGUAAUAGUAACUAUGUACAAUCGUUGUAAAAGUGUGGCUAAUAAGAAGUAGAAGAUUAAUGAGAGAAGAGAAAGUACUUUACAUUCGGAACGUGAAUCAAAUGUAGAUCUCUGUGAAAGCAGAUGGUACUUACUUCCUCAUAUGAACUACCAAAGAAAUUGGAAAAACAAAAGAUUGUCUUUACAUUCCAAUUUUAAGGAACUUAAUUCCAUCAAUAUAAGGGAUGGAUGAAUGUUUUGUUUGACAAAACAUUGUUCUUUAUUAAUGAAUGAUUAGAUUAUUGUAAUCUAAUAAAUUAUCUCUACAGUAGAGAUGAUAUGGUAGUGUUAACUGUUUAGAAGAUAACGAUGCUUAAAACCCAAAAGGUUGCAAGGUAGUGACUAAUCCCAACUGAGUUGUGAUACCUCGAAAACAUAAAACACGAGUUGGUUAUAGAUGGAUGCUUUGGAUCGUUAGAUACGGAUCCAAUACCUUCUUAUUAAAAUUGUAUAGAGGCGAAAUGUUCGAAUCUUUAUUCUUUUGGAAAGAAGAAAGAAUCACAAAGUUGUUGAGGUUAAUUCACUUAGAUGUUAGUGGCACUUGUCCACAACAUAAUACUACUCAUGUUGUAUGACAUUCCCCGAAGAUCACUCUCAGUUGGACUAUAGUUUAUUUUGAAUAAACACAAGUCCGAAUACUUUGCAAAAGGUUUCAAAGAAUUCAAGAAAUGUAAGUUGAUGAGUAAGACAUCUAAAGUAUUGACCUCAUUAGAUUUGAUCCAAGGAAAGGUAACACUUUAGAUGAGUUUCCUUGAAAGAUAUCAAGGAAAGAAGCAUCAAAAGAUAAUGGAUUUCUCCAUUAGGAGAAGAACGAACUUGAAUAAGAUUUAGUUUGUUGGAUGUUAUCAAUUACCCAUAUAUAGGAGAUAUGCUUCUAAGACAAUAUGAUUGUCAAUUAGAAGAUCGUCCAAAAUUUUCAUGACUCCAUAAGAUGUAGUUGGAAAGAAAGACAAAUCUCAAGCAUGUUAAGAUUUGGGGUUGUGCUCUAAUAAGCAAUAUUUGUUUGAUAACAAUCUUGUGGGAUAUCCUUAAAUUAACUUUUGGAUAUCGCUUCUAUAAACCAACUAACAAAUGUUGUUUUGUUGGGUAGUUCAUUGUAAUCUUACAAUAUGAUUUGCCUAAGUGCAAAUGAAGAGAGAUAGAACUCAAAGAAUGGGUUCUUUGAGAGACAAGAUAAUAAUCAACAAAUAUAACAACCUAGUUCCUAUACCAAAAGCUCCAUGGUAGUCGAGAAGGAUUUAUAAACCGUCUCAAUUGAAUGGUUUGAACUUUAUGACUAUGUCAUAGAGUUGCACCUCUUAAUUCGAAAGAAAUAAGAAUGAAAAUCCUUAUGACUACAUUGAGUGUAUAUAUGACAUAUACUCAAGGAAAUGGUAAAGUACCAUUUGACCCGAAAUAAUGAAACCUUCAUAAGCUAAUUGGUAGCUUAAGGUGACUACAAUCAAAGAGAAUGGUUGACUUUAAAGAAACCAUCUUUGAGAUAGUCUUGGUUUCAAUUAAUUCGAAAUUGCUAGCUACAACUAAAUGGUGAUUCAAUGUUUGGACAUAAUAUGGGUUUCCGAAAACAUUAUUAAGAUGGUCUUGAUAAUUGAUGGAAAUGUGCCCUAAAACCAAUCAUAUGAUGAUACUUUACGGACAUUUCACAAAGUUAAACUAAUGUAGUUUAAAUAUAAAGGCAAAGAUUAUUGUUUGAUCCGUCUCAUAUAAAUGUUAUAUGCUUAAACGAUAAGUCCAAGGAAUAUGUGAUUGGGA
rnacentral:lncRNA from 1 species